rnacentral:rRNA from 1 species
CCUACGGGAGGCAGCAGUAAGGAAUAUUGGACAAUGGCCGCAAGGCUGAUCCAGCCAUCCAGCGUGCAGGAAGAAGGCCCUAUGGGUUGUAAACUGCUUUUAUCAGGGAAUAAACCUCUGGAUUCACUCCGGAGCUGAAGGUACCUGAAGAAUAAGCACCGGCUAACUCCGUGCCAGCAGCCGCGGUAAUACGGAGGGUGCGAGCGUUAUCCGGAAUUACUGGGUUUAAAGGGUGCGUAGGCGGCUUUGUAAGUCAGGAGUGAAAGUUUGCGGCUCAACCGUAAAAUUGCUUCUGAUACUGCAUGGCUAGAAUUAGGAUGAGGUCAGCGGAAUGUGGCAUGUAGCGGUGAAAUGCAUAGAUAUGCCAUAGAACACCAAUUGCGAAGGCAGCUGGCUAGACCUGGAUUGACGCUGAGGCACGAAAGCGUGGGGAGCGAACAGGAUUAGAUACCCUGGUAGUCCACGCCCUAAACGAUGCUUACUCGACGUAUGGCACUAGUUGUUGUGCGUCCAAGGGAAACCGUUAAGUAAGCCACCUGGGGAGUACGACCGCAAGGUUGAAACUCAAAGGAAUUGACGG